GAAUUCACUAGUGAUUCAGGCCUAACACAUGCAAGUCGAACGGCAGCACGGACUUCGGUCUGGUGGCGAGUGGCGAACGGGUGAGUAAUACAUCGGAACGUGCCCAGUCGUGGGGGAUAACGUAGCGAAAGCUACGCUAAUACCGCAUACGAUCUAAGGAUGAAAGCGGGGGACCGUAAGGCCUCGCGCGAUUGGAGCGGCCGAUGGCAGAUUAGGUAGUUGGUGGGGUAAAGGCUCACCAAGCCGACGAUCUGUAGCUGGUCUGAGAGGACGACCAGCCACACUGGGACUGAGACACGGCCCAGACUCCUACGGGAGGCAGCAGUGGGGAAUUUUGGACAAUGGGCGCAAGCCUGAUCCAGCCAUUCCGCGUGCAGGAUGAAGGCCCUCGGGUUGUAAACUGAUUGGUACGGAACGAAAAGGCUCUGGUUAAUACCUGGGGCUC
rnacentral:rRNA from 1 species